rnacentral:rRNA from 1 species
UACAGAGGGUGCAAGCGUUGUUCGGAAUUAUUGGGCGUAAAGCGCGUGUAGGCGGCCGUGCAAGUCGGGUGUGAAAGCCCUCGGCUCAACCGAGGAAGUGCGCCCCGAAACUGCAUGGCUUGAGUACCGGAGAGGAUGGCGGAAUUCCCCAAGUAGAGGUGAAAUUCGUAGAUAUGGGGAGGAACACCGGUGGCGAAGGCGGCCUGCUGGGCAGUUUGCUGACACUGAGGCGCGACAGCGUGGGGAGCAA